GACAUCAUAAAAAUUCAUUCCACUCAAACGCGGCUCCAUUGGCUGGUGGAUGGAGACAAAGGACAGUAACUGGAUGUUGAGAUGGGCCAUGGGAAGGGCAACAUGUAAACAUGUAAAUUAGGAUCAGUCCUACUUCAGUCCAGAUGGUCCUGAAGCUGUUUGCAUCACCAUUCACCAGACUUCCAUCACAGCAUCUGACAUGCCUCAAAAUUGGUGUCACACAGUUUGACGCAGAUUGCAACCAAGACUUUAUUAGACCCAUCUGACAUAGUGUGACAUGCAAUGAACACAUUCUAAAGACACCUUUUUUUUCCUGCAAUAGCUGCUUUAAUUUGUGCUACAAUGCAUUCUUGGUUAAAACAUGAAUCAACUUUUACUGUAACCUGGCAUAAUUAUUCAACAUAAAUUUCACAUUAUUGCAAUUUUUUGCCUUUAGUAACAGUAUUAUUUCAAAUGUCAUCAUCAAUAUUAGUCCCAGUGUUUGUGAUUCAACACAGGUUUAUUUAUCAAAGCAUAUGGCGUUUAGUUUGUAAUUCAUGUCUCACACCCAGCUUGCAAUAAAGAAUAUGA